CAGCCGCCGCGGUAAUACGAAGGGUGCAAGCGUUAAUCGGAAUUACUGGGCGUAAAGCGUGCGUAGGCGGUUUGUUAAGUCCGUUGUGAAAGCCCUGGGCUCAACCUGGGAAUUGCGGUGGAUACUGGGUCACUAGAGUGUGGUAGAGGAUAGUGGAAUUUCCGGUGUAGCAGUGAAAUGCGUAGAGAUCGGAAGGAACAUCUGUGGCGAAGGCGACUAUCUGGGCCAACACUGACACUGAGGCACGAAAGCGUGGGGAGCAAACAGGAUUAGAUACCCCAGUAGUCCCUGUCUCUUAUAC
rnacentral:rRNA from 1 species